UCUAAAACAUCACUUCUUUCUCCCAACUAGAUCUUCUCAACCUAAUCGGCUACUCGUCUACCGCCGGCCUCUCUCGUCCAAAUCUCUAUUGGUUUAUGAAGAAGAGGGGAGGAGAGAGAGAGAGAUGAAGGCUUCAAGACCUAGCGAUUUGGUUUAUGAAGAAGAGGGGAGGAGAGAGGGAGAUGAAGGCUUCAAGACCUAACGAGAAUGGAUAAAAAUUUACAGCUAGUAACAAUGAGCAGGAAGAACAAUCAACUCAAGUCUUUGAUUCUUCACUUGUAACACAUCCUCCGAUUAGGAUUUCAUCAAAUUCCUCUUUUCUCUCUAAUCUGCAUGCAUUUUCAUUUAUCUUCCACACAAUUGGUUAUGAUUUUUCAAUAUCAAGGAAAAAUUAUGUACAGUUUCUUCCUGUCAUUUUGACUCACUGUAAUUUGCUAGAAUCCAAGUUGGUUGUGGGUAGAGGAAUUCAAGUUUUUGAGAAUGGCGGAAUCACAGUAAUGUAUCUAAUAAAAAGUUAUAGUAAUUGUGGACUCUUUGUUUCUUUUCCAUUAGGCUGGGUUCAUGAUCAAUGAAGAUUUGGGACUAGUAUUUAGUAAUUGUGAAUUCUAUACUUCUAUACAUACUGUCAUUUUUCAAAUUGGCGGUUGCGUGCAACUGCAUAGCUCCUCAAUUUCAGUCCUAUUAUUGCAAUUUUGUUUAGUUUAACAUCAAAGUACUCACUAUUGUGAAUUAGUUACCUUGUUAAGUUAUAUAAAUUGAAAGCAUGUGUAUAAUUAUAUCACAGGAAACACCAUAUGUUGUCCUUGCUGGGCUCGUUUCAGCUUUGAAAGUACUUGGUGGAGCAUUAAUUGACCAAACUUUCUUGUUCCUAGGCUCCAGAGAGGUAGCUUGUUCAUCUUUUAAUAAAUUUAUUUACAAUGCUAGAAUUAUGCAAUUGUAUAAACCACUGAAGGCUGGAACUGGAAUGUUGAGCUUAUUGCACUUGAAAUUUCAAAGAAGUCAUGGGUUGUGCUAGAUGAAGUUCGAAAAAAGAUUUGAGUUGUCGACUCAAAGGCACUUGCACUGAUCUCAUCAAUUUUGACUAGCUUCAUAAUAAUGCACAUUUUCUUUACUACUGCCAUGAACUUGACCAUUUUCACCGGUAAAACUUGUUUGGCUUUAUAUCAGGGACUUGGUCUCACGAACACUGUUAAUAACUGCAACAACCCGGGUUCCACUUGAGCAAGCAGGGCAUGGAUUGACACCAACACCAAUCGCGAAAACUAGAGAAUGAUCAACACUCAGCGGGGCGUUUGCAGGGUAGAGUCUCGAAUUCAAGCUUCUGAGGGAGUCCGUGUAAGAAAUUGUCACUGGCGUGGUGUCCACAAAAGUAAUGCCUAACUGCAUUCACAUAUUUGAUCUUGUAUACUAAAGUUUGCUUGCUAUAGAGUUCAUAACUUGGGAUGGUGAAGAGUUCAUUCAAGCAACAACAUGAACUUGAGAAGAGGCGGGUUGAGGCUGGCCGAAUUCAGGAAAAAUGAUUACGAAUCCCGGCAUGCAUCAGGGAAGGUCCCAGACAUGACUGGACCAUGCCUGAAAUCAAGUCCAUUUACGACUCCCAGCUUCUCGAUCUCCUCUUUCACGGCGCUCAAGUUCAUAGGCAUGGUCUCAACUUCCAAGAGGUACAACAUUGCACUCUUCUAAAUUGAAGUUCUAAAAUUUGACAUGGGAUGGGUCAAUGUGAUCAAUAGAUAUUUAUGCUGAUGGUAUACUUAUUCCAAAUUAGGCAAGACAGGCAAAAGAGGCUGGUAGCACUUGAUUUUGUAUUGGUGCUGCAUGGAGGGAUACUAUAGGAAGGAAAACCAAUUUAAUAUAAUUUUCUGCCUGUGAAGUUGAAACUGAUGCUACAAUUGGUUCUCUGGCAUUAAUUCUUCAAAGGAGAAUUGAUUUUUCCAAUCUCAUGAUUGUAUGUGGGACUUUGAAGAACUUUUCAAAGAGCACUUCAGGAGGCGCGGUUAUUACAUUCUCAAAGCAUGUGAUGCCUAUAUUGAGAAAUUUGCUCCCUUGGAUGAGCAGUGUUUUUUGUACAUUUAUGUAAGCGAGUUGUCAUUACCAAUAGGACAACUUUAAUUACAGCAAAUACAAACUCAUCACUUUUGUAAGUUUUCACUAGUGAAGAGGCCAAAGGGAGCUCCAUACAUCAACCAAGGUGUGGGAUGCGCGGAAAUUAUAUUGCUGAUAAUAGGCAUGGAGAUGAUGAAGGAUUUUGUUCAUGGAGCAUGUAUGAAAUAGAAGGUUUUUGUGAAAGAUCUUUUGAAAUUACACUGACUGACAUGUAUCAGGUAUUAGUAUUUCUUACAGUACUAAAAAAUUUGGAAUUUCUUUACCAUUGUACUCAGUUGACAUUGACCAAUCUGGCUGUUCAUUUAGUCUUAUAAUUAUAGAGUAGUUUUUUUUUUUUUUUUUGAGAUGAGGUUGGCUUAAGUGUUGACAUCCCCUCUUAUAUAUCGUUGUGUAAUUUUCUAUUUGAGAUUCCCAUGUGUAUUAACCUAUUAGAUUUUUGGUUUAGAAGUAUUAU